rnacentral:rRNA from 1 species
GCCUCUAGAUAUUGGUAUUAGAGGUCCAUUCUGCCCUAUGCCCUACGGGGUAAAUGGCCGCGGUAGCCUGACCGUGCUAAGGUAGCAUAAUCAUUUGCCGUUUAAUUGAUGGCUGGAAUGAAUGAAUAUACGAGAGCUCAACUGUCUCAUUUUUACAAAUAUAAAUUGACCCUCAAGUGAAGAGACUUGAAUUCUUAAAAAAGACGAAAAGACCCUAUAGAGCUUUACCUGAAAUUUAUAUCUCAUAUAAUAAAGGUUUAGUUGGGGCAACUAGAGAGCACCUAAAACCUCUCUUUAAAUUUACUAAUAGUGAUCCGUUUUUACGAUAAGUAGAAAAAGCUACCUUAGGGAUAACAGGCUAAUUCUCUUUAAGAGACCAUAUUGACAAGAGGGAUUGGCACCUCGAUGUUGGCUCAAGGUUACAGUUUGAUGCAGCAGUCAAACAAAGUAGGUUUGUUCACCCUUUAAAUCCUU